AGGGGGAGACUAGUGACAGAGGGAGGGAAUGGGAGACUAGUGACAGAGUGAGGGAAUGGGUGACUAGUGGCAGAGUGAGGGAGGGAAGGGGUGACUAGUGACAGAGUGAGGGGAUGACUGGUGACAGAGUGAGGGGGGGGUGACUGUCACUAGUCACCCCAUCCCUCUCUCUGUCACUAGUUACUCCCUCCCUAACUCUGUCACUGUGUCACCCGCUCCCUCCCUCUGUCACUAGUCACCCCCUCCCUCACUCUGUCACUAUCACCCCCUCUCUCUAGUCCCCAUCCUUCUCUCU